UCGAUAAUGAGAAAGUGACAAACCAUGAUAUCAAAGAUAUUGUAAGGGACUUGGAACUGUCACAAAACGUUAUUGAGGCCUAUAUCCAAAUAGAGGAGGAGAAAAUAGGGCCCAUGCAGACAGAUAGUCCACAGUACAUGUCUACAUGGACUUGGGCUUACAUGCAAACCUUUCUAGAACCAAAUUGGCAUAGGGCCCUGUAUGAACACUUACUUGAAAAACUCGGGAAAUGCAAUGUUCUCUUCUUCCCGAUCAUUUCAAGUUCUGAGUUCCACUUUACACUUCUCACAUUUCACAAAAUGGAACGAAAGUGGAGACACUACAAUCCACUUAGAUCGUUGGGAUCUAGAAAAGAAGAAAAGUGUAUUGA